rnacentral:rRNA from 1 species
UACGAAGGGGGCUAGCGUUGCUCGGAAUCACUGGGCGUAAAGGGCGUGCAGGCGGUUUGUUAAGUGCAGGGUGAAAGCUCCCGGCUCAACUGGGAGAGGUCCUUGCAUACUGGCGAACUCGAGGGAGGCAGAGGAAAGUGGAAUUCCCGGUGUAGUGGUGAUAUGCGUAGAUAUCGGGAGGAACACCUGUGGCGAAGGCGGCUUUCUGGGCCUUACCUGACGCUGAGACGCGAAGGCGUGGGGAGCGAACCGG